CUUUCCAAUUUCUCUUUUUUACUUUUUUGAAAGAUUACUUUUUAGGAACAUUUGGUAUGAUAUGCAUAAAAUUAUUUAUCAAUUUGUGGGCAAAAUGAUACAAGUAGCAUCUUGAUUGAACAUCAUUUACCUCAGAUAUUCAACCAGCAGUACGUUUUUUAUGCAGUCUCAACCCAUAUCCCAUUUGUUACCUCUCAGAAUAUUGGUAAGCAGUUAUUUUCGCUUUACUCUGUAUUUCUUGUGUUUUGGGCACAGGUUAUUGUACUACUGUCAAAUCGUACUUGCUAUUUUUUCUGCAAGUAUUUAACAGAAAGCUUAAAAUCCCCAUAAAACCCCACCUUGGAUAAGUGAUUGUUAAAUAUUGUACAAAUAAAAUGUAUGCUAUCCCCAUUCCAUCCCCAAGUUAAAUAAAAAAAAAAUGAACAUGGUAUGAUUUGCAUAUGCAGUUUUUCUUUAGCUAUGUGUUCUUAAAGAGGGGAGUGGUAGCUUUGUAACUUACAGUGAGGCUUACACCUUGACAACUGCCAAGAAUGAGGAUAGUGGUGAGUGAAGGGAGAUUUGUUAAUUAUGGUAUUUCCCUCUAUUAUCGUCUAAACAGAUUAUAUUCCCACUCAAGUAUGUGUGUUGGUCCUGCCAGUAUUAGGAAGCAGAGGCUUGUUGGCAUUGUGUCACACAGCACACACCAAUGAAUUCUCAGAUUUUCUAGGGUAAAGGUGAAGGACGGGGCAGCACUUAGAUUAUGGUGGUUUGAAAGAAACAGAAUUGCUUUCUAAACCAGAUGAGGCCGAGAAUGCGAACCAUGGUGAAAUAUGCAUGGAAACUCUACAGAAAAUACUGAAGUGUUUCUUACAGUGUUUUCUGCAAAACAGUGAUUCGUUAGGACAUUAAUAGGUAUUAUGUUUUCAACAUGUACAGCAUUAUGAUACAGUAAGUUUGGACCAAACAGGCAUUCAUUCCCCAGAGUCUUUCACGUGCACGAGAAUCAGUCAUUUUAACAAGAAUUCUGUUUCUGGUAGGCCACUUGGAGGGAACACAGAUGUAAAAAACACACUGAAAUAUUCCUCCUUCACCUGCUUGUCAGUCUGAGGUAGUCAGAUUAAAAAGCAGUUUGUGCUUUUUUGGUUCUAUUUUUCCUCCUCUAGUAAAUGAAGAAAGUAUCUUGAAGCUAUAUGUGUAAGUUUACAUUAUUCUUGAACCGCUUUUUAAACUAGGGUUUUUCAGACUUGUUUUUAUUGAUGACAGUUCAAGCAAUUUAAGAGAUGAAGUUAGCUCAAAACUCUUGCAAAUAGACUUUAGCUUUUUUGUAUGAGAGAAUAUGGAAAGGCCAACAAUCAACACUGCUCCUCCCCACAAAAAUGCUUUGGGAAUAUAAUACGCAUAUGCUUCAUUUGUGUAACUUUUCCUAAUGUAUUUUUUGAAUUUGCUUUUAACUGUUUCAUGUUUACCUCAAUUGGUACUUAAAAUCUGUAUACUUGGUUAUUGAUAGAUCUUCUGUAGCUCUUACGUAGCCAAUGAGACAGAUGAGGGCUGUCAGCUUUUAAGUGACAUCUUAAGCUAAUAAGAAAUUGCAAUCCUCAAGUCAUUUCAUGAGGCUGUUACCCUUUAAGACAAAUAAUACUUUCCUCAAAUAGUUUAGAAAAUUUUUAAAAGGGUCAGUUAGAGCGUAAGUGUAAAAUUCUUGCUUCUAGUAUAUAAUAGUGAUGUUACCAUGUUAAGUAUUUUGGUGAAAUAUCCCCUAAAAAUGUGUAGACUAUGGCACAGAAUCAGUAUGCAAGCCUUAGCCUGAAUGAGACUGCUGAAAAGUAAAUGACAGGGAUCUGAAUACUUAGAAGGUUUGACUUUUUGCAGGGAAGGAAAGGCUAUGUAUGCAAAAGAAUAUGUUGUAACUACUGAAGAGCUACUUUUAUGCACAGAAAUUUUUUAUUCCACUUUGUAUCCAAGAUUUCAUUAAAACAUUGUGCCUUAGAGCAUACUUUAAAAACUAUUUGGUAAGGAAUCCACUGUCGAACUUCAGGUUUUAAUAGCACUGCCUUUGGUGUUAAACUGAGUUGAAUUCCAAGCCUGCUGGCUAUUCCCAGCAUUGCCACUGCUUUGUUAGUUUUCUAAUCUGUAAAU
ensembl:lncRNA